rnacentral:rRNA from 1 species
AUUGAACGCUGGCGGCAGGCUUAACACAUGCAAGUCGAGCGGGGGAGGUUGCUUCGGUAACUGACCUAGCGGCGGACGGGUGAGUAAUGCUUAGGAAUCUGCCUAUUAGUGGGGGACAACAUUCCGAAAGGGAUGCUAAUACCGCAUACGCCCUACGGGGGAAAGCAGGGGAUCUUCGGACCUUGCGCUAAUAGAUGAGCCUAAGUCGGAUUAGCUAGUUGGUGGGGUAAAGGCCUACCAAGGCGACGAUCUGUAGCGGGUCUGAGAGGAUGAUCCGCCACACUGGGACUGAGACACGGCCAAGACUCCUACGGGAGGCAGCAGUGGGGAAUAUUGGACAAUGGGCGGAAGCCUGAUCCAGCCAUGCCGCGUGUGUGAAGAAGGCCUUUUGGUUGUAAAGCACUUUAAGCGAGGAGGAGGCUCUUAAGGUUAAUACCCUUGAUGAGUGGACGUUACUCGCAGAAUAAGCACCGGCUAACUCUGUGCCAGCAGCCGCGGUAAUAC